UGAUCUUCCAAAGGAGAGUGUUAUUGGCCGCUGCUGAUUUCCAUUGGCAGAAGGAAGAUGGAGAUGCCUUGAUAUUCAAGGAUACAUGGCCUCUCCUUUGUUGGUUGUGUUGGAAAAUGGAUCUGGACAGGCCGGGGAUUGAACCCAGGACCUCCUACACCGGUGCCAGGUGCUCUACCACUGAGCUACCUGCCCUGGUUGUGUGCAUGUUCAGCUUAGUUCUAACACUCCCCCCUAAGCUGAACACGCCACACAUCCCUACCUGCCAGUCCAUGCCUACCACAGGCCAUCCAACCAUAGCUCCGAUACCAUGUUGGAAAAUGGAUCUGGACAGGCCGGGGAUUGAACCCAGGACCUCCUACACCGGUGCCAGGUGCUCUACCACUGAGCUACCUGCCCUGGUUGUGUGCAUGUUCAGCUUAGUUCUAAC
rnacentral:lncRNA from 1 species